CUGGUUUUGUUUUAAAGUUUCGAAAACGAGACCACGUUUAAAGAUUAUCAAAGGAAACCUUGAGUACUUGUUUGGAGACGUCUACACGUGGCUAGCACGAAAAACAGCACAAGAAUAAUCGUCGUGUCCACUCUGGUCGUGUCUCUUUGCAGAAUCGCUUAGUGCACACUCCAUGCUGUUCAGCAGAUUUCAGACCAGAUCCAGCCCCCAUAACAAUGCCAUAUUCGAGUGUUGCUUGUGCUGUUGCAUCAUCACCUGGAUAAACAGCGUCCAGUUUGAUUAGUGGCAUUCAAUUUUCUGUCCUCAUGUACACCAAUGUGAGUGUGGGCGUAAUCACGAGUCUGAGGCCCUUUUGCCUAUCCUGCCUGGUGGAUUCAACUUUUCAGCGGAUGCUGGACACUUGUGGAUGGAUGCCUGGCUGUGGAUUUCCCAGGUUUAAAGGUAGGACAAAUACAUCUCUAUUCUUCCUUUGUGAA